rnacentral:rRNA from 1 species
AUUGAACGCUGGCGGCAGGCCUAACACAUGCAAGUCGAGCGGAGCGGCGGACGGGUGAGUAAUGCCUAGGAAUCUGCCUGGUAGUGGGGGAUAACGUCCGGAAACGGGCGCUAAUACCUCAUACUAUCACAUGAGCAUAGGUCGGAUUAGCUAGUUGGUGGGGUAAAGGCCUACCAAGGCGACGAUCCGUAACUGGUCUGAGGGGAUGAUCAGUCAAAUUGGAACGGAGAAACGGUCCAAACUCCUACGGGAGGAAGCAGUGGGAAAUAUUGGACAAUGGGCGAAGGCUGGAGGCAGCCAUGCCGCGUGUGUGAAGAAGGUCUUCGGAUUGUAAAGUACUUUAAGUUGGGAGGCGGUACCGGCAUAAUAAGCACCGGCUAACUACGUGCCAGCAGCCGCGGUAAUAC